GCCCCUUUCUUUUUGCGGCAGGAUAGCUAUAUCGGACCUGCCGGUUUCGACCGGCUAUGGCGAUAAAUUGUUGCGUGCAAUAGGCGCAGCGGACCCGGGGGCGGUACCCGGCGGCUCCACCAUUACUACUCUGCCUUGGCAGGGGCCCUGUUGUCGCAGGGGUAAUGACGGGGCCGAACUAGGAUCGACGUGUGUUGAAAAGCGCAGUUUUCGCCCGGGCUGAGUAACCCGUUCAAGGCUCAAAACUCACAAGUGCCAACGACAACGAAGCACUUGCUCUCGCCGCGUAACCUGACGGCCUCACGGCCUGAUCUUACAAAGCGAAAGCACGGUUCGGACCGAACCGGGUAACAGAAUCGGAAACC
rnacentral:tmRNA from 1 species